CCCCUUGACUGGGCAAACUUCAAACAAGGUGACUGAGCUCCCUUAGCUGCCACUGAUUGGACCAGGAUAGACAGCAAAUGUAGGAGGAGUUAAUCUGGAUCUAGCCUGAGUCAGUCAGAUGUCUCCCUUGAAUCUAUGCAUAUAGAAAUACAAAAAAUGGAAGCCAGAGGAUGAUGGAUCCUUGAAGUAAAAGGUCAGCUCUGUGGAAGUUUGAGUGACUCAUUGCAGAGAGGAAUUGAUGAAGUCAACAGCUGCUGGAAAAACCUCUUUUUCCUUAAUAGCUGUGUCAACAUGUAGUUGCUAUUAUUCAAAAUGGAUUAAAUAAUUCUGCUAGCCAGUGGCAACAGCAAGCUUCAUAACGAGGAGAAAGGCUUAGGGGGGCUCAGAAAGUGCACAGAGCAGGGGAAUAGAUGAGUGGAAGGAACAGAGCUUUGAGGACAGACACACCUGGAACUCCUGGAUUAGACAAUAGCUCCAAUACUUAGUGAUGUGAAUGAGUGACUCUCUAAAAUUCUUUAAAUCUUAUUUGUAAGGACAUCAAUAGCUAUUUUGAACUCUCAUAUAAAUUUGUAAUAAUGUCUGUAAAGUAUCUGACAGGAGCUCAGAAAUGACACAAUUCUUUAAAUAUACUCACCCCCAAAUUUUAAACAAAAUGUUAAACAAAAAGUAGCUGCAUAUCCUACACACAAUUUUAAGUUUUACUAUUUAAGAUAAUAUCAUGCUAUGAACAUAUUUCCAUGUCAUUAAAUAUUCUAUUUCAUACAAUAUUUAAAAGCUAAUAGAAGUCUGUUAAAUGCAUAUACCAUAAUUUAUGUAAACGAUUGGGUUGUUUUUAAUAUAUAUGUUGUUUCCAAUGUAUUAUGCUAUUGACAAUAAAAUAAUGAGCAUCUAUGAUGAUGAA